CUGUGAGGUGAAUGGCAACCUCCUGGAGAAGACCUGGCUGCAGAUGAGCACUGAGUUGUGGUUCACUGAGAAGRGCUCCCAAGAAGAUCUGUGGCUGAGGACAGCGCCUCRUUUUCCACAUGUGAUUGAAGCAGAGCCAGAAGACAUCAGCUGCAGGUAUCUGCUGAAGCUGCCAGCACUCCAGCGCCAGGAUGGUUUAUGAAGAAUAAAAUUAUUAAAUGAUGCUGUCGUCCCUGUGGUCUGCGGCUCCAGGCAGAACCCUGUAAAAGCUGUGAAUGAGCAUGUCAGC